rfam:Glossina fuscipes fuscipes unplaced genomic scaffold Scaffold751, whole genome shotgun sequence.
CAACAGGAUUUUCUUAAAUCCAAUUAUGCUACAAAAGCAAAAAAGU